rfam:Canis lupus familiaris chromosome 30, whole genome shotgun sequence.
AGGAGGAACAGCCCCAGUGGCGGGGCCAGCUCUGGAGCCCUGGAGUCAGCUCCCGCAGUAACUAGGAGCUCUCGGUCUGCAGGGCCUGGAGGCUCCGGGGCGGG